CUCUCUGUAGUUUAAUUGGAAGAACAGGACGCUACGAACGUUCAGAUGUGGGUUCAAUCCCUGCCAGAGAGU
rnacentral:tRNA from 1 species